rnacentral:tRNA from 1 species
UCCACAUUAGCUCAGUGGUAGAGCUAUCGGCUGUUAACCGAUCGGUCGUAGGUUCGAGUCCUACCUGUGGAGCCA